CCAUUAGUUGUGAACUCCAUUGCCUAGGGUUUUGAGCUUAUAAAUAGAACACUAUUCAUUCCUUGGCUCUCCAAUCCCUCCAUUUGCCUCUUCAAUCUGCAUGAGAAAAACCAACAAGACUCCCCAGCCUUAGAGGAGAAACAAGAGAUAAAGAGUAAGGAAGGAGGAGGGAUUCAAGCUAGUGGUCUAGAGAGCUUGAGCUUCUUCUCCCUGCCUUUCUACUUCCUUUAUGCACCAACUCUGAGGCCCCUUUACCCCACAGGGAUCCUUUGAAAUUCUGCCCUUACAAUGGAACUUCAUGCUGCAACUCUGCGCAUCCAGAAGCAGUUUCCCUGUUAUUUGUGCGGAAUGUGAUAAAUUUUCAGCUGAGCUUUACAGAAUUAGUUCUGUUCCUCGACAUGUUCCUGUGAAAGGUUUGAGGUAAACAGGGCACUGUUGUAAUUGUGGAUAUAUACUUAAUUACUCUGGUUACUGUGUAUAGUGAUAAUUUUAAAAUUUUAAAGUGAAAUAUAAACAAGCCUAGCUACAUGAAUUCCUUAA